rnacentral:tRNA from 1 species
GGCGGUUUAGCUUAAUGGUUCAGAGCACUGCAAUGCGUAAUCAUAGAGGUGUGAGCUCAAGUCUCAUAGCCGGCU